rnacentral:rRNA from 1 species
UACGGGGGGGGCAAGCGUUGUUCGGAAUUACUGGGCGUAAAGGGCUCGUAGGCGGCCAACUAAGUCAUACGUGAAAUCCCUCGGCUUAACCGGGGAACUGCGUCUGAUACUGGAUGGCUUGAGUUCGGGAGAGGGAUGCGGAAUUCCAGGUGUAGCGGUGAAAUGCGUAGAUAUCAGGAGGAACACCCAUGGCGAAAGCGGCGCACUGGACCACAACUGACGCUGAGGCGCGAAAGCUAGGGGAGCAAACAGG